rnacentral:rRNA from 1 species
UACGUAGGUGGCAAGCGUUAUCCGGAAUUACUGGGCGUAAAGCGCACGCAGGUGGUCUUGUAAGUUUGACGUGAAAGCUCUCGGCUUAACUGGGAGAGGUCGUUGAAGACUGCAAGACUUGAGGAAAUGAGAGGGGUGUAGAAUUCCCGGUGUAGUGGUGGAAUGCGUAGAUAUCGAGAGGAACACCUGCGGCGAAGGCGGGUAGCUGGGCCGACACUGACGCUGAGGCGCGAAAGCCAGGGGAGCGAACGGG